CAAAGUCUAUCCCUCACAUGCCCCAGCUUUGCAUCUUGAACAUGCCGAGAGGGCUCUCAAAGAGCGGCAGCCUGUUACACAGUGUUACUGUGGCUGUAAUCAGUAGGCAUACAUUGGAUAUCCUUGUGAUGACUGAGAGCUAUCUGAACAACCUUUAAGAACACUGGCCACUUCCAGUUCAGCUGUGAGAACAGGCAGGGGAGAUACAGUCUCUCUUCAUACCACCUUUGUUCCUCCUGGAGGGGUGCGAGGGGAUGGUGAGCGCCAGCGCCUACUCUCCAAAAUUCCUGCAGAGUAUCGUGUGGUCCUCUUUUUUUAUCUUUUCACUUUGCCCCAAGCCUAAUGCUUAUUAGUAGUUAAUGAAGUCGUUUGGACUGUGUCAUGACCAACACACAGGUAAGAUUCACUAUCUAUUAAAUAAUUGUUUUAAAUAUUGCAUUAAAUAAUCUAGGACUCAGUUUCUGAAGACUGUGGCCAGGCAGUGUGGGAAGUGGUUACAGGAAGGCUGUUCUUUACUAGAUAUAUCCUUCAGCUCUGUUCCCAACCAGCAGGUUAGUUAACCAGGAUUUAGGUCCUCUUUACCAACACACAGGAUAAAAUUGCCAGAUUCCCUGAUAGCGUGAAGUAGGACGUAGACGUGAGAUUCCCUAUACAGGCACAGAGGAAUAAAUAGAAUUAAACAUGAGUAAAAAGUUAGUCUAAUUAGUGUCAUAGCAGAGGAAAAAGGGUAAUUUAAACUAGAAUUUGAAUUGUAAUGCCGCAGCAUUAGCAGUGGCAUUCUGACGUACAGAAUUACUGUGCGGCUUUCCACCCCUUUUCAGAAAAUAUGUUUCUGGCUGAACAGGGUUGAAUACCUCUGAAAAAUGUCCUAAAUAUUUAGAAUACUGCUAGUCCUCUGCAAACCCAUUAAAAAAAAGUAUUAAUACCUAGUGUUUAGGAUUAUUAAUUCCUUGUUUGUUAAUGAUUUCCACAUGGAGGUGCUGUAGAGUUAGAAAUGAUCCAAGAGAAAACACUAGGUUUUGAAAGAACGUAGAAACAUUGUAUCAUCUCUUGGUUAACUGAGCAAACCCCAAAUCUGUCAUUAAUGCUGAGGGAUAUGUGUCCUUUCAGCUUUUGCUAACCAUAACAAGUUUCAGUAGAGCUUGGAAAGAUGGGUCAAGAAACCUUUUUACUUUGUUAAUGGCUUCUAUUCACUAUGCACCCAAACAUGCUGAUCUCAGUAAAAUGAAAAUGGCAAAUAAUAUUGGUCCAUUCCCUUCAUCCUUUCUCUGUGCCUUCAGAGACUUCUGUCAGAUGGACCUACCAGCCCACAGGGUGGCUGUGAAUGCAGACCUUUGUUGUCAUUCUUUUGCCUUACUGAGCUUUCAGCAGGACUUUUCUGAAGCCCCUUCCAGAUAUGAGCUCUUGAGCCUUACAGCCCAAGUGCAUUUGAAGGAUACUUAUACUAUGUUUCAAGGAUAACCCAAAGAUUAUGGAGGAUAAACUAUGGCUAAUCCUGUCAGUGCAUAGGUCAGGCUAUGGUGGCUGACGCGACUUGCGGGGGCAUAGCUUGCAUUAGCCCAAGAUCACUUUUCCAUGUAGCUGAAAUAGUUUCUUCAAAUGUAGUAAUCUAAGUCAGCAAAAGAGUUGUCACAACCGUGACUGUACCUUCUUGUUGUCCUUGCUGUGCUACCUGUUGUGGUUUAGAGGCAUGGAGCCAAGGCAGUAUCAGUGUAGCGUGGCCAUCAGUAUUUUUAGCUAAGGGGAAGUUCUGCACAUGGACUGAACUCUCCGUUGGUUUCUUUCCAGCUGGAAUCCCCUGAAAUAAAAAUUUGUGUUAGUUAUUUGCAGGAUUGAAAUCUCUGUGGUAGGUUGACCCCAGACAGCAAUGAAACACCCACCAGCCACUCAUUCCCCCACCCCAGUGGGAUAUAGGAGAGAACUGGAAGAGCAAAAGAGAGAAAAAAAUGUGAGUUGAGAUAAAGACAGCUUAAUAAGAGAAAGGAAGAGGAGGAAAAACACCAAGUGAUAUAAAGAUAUUCACUCUACACCUCUCACAAGCAGGCUGAUGCCAGUCUCCAAGCAACAGCUAGCUAGAAAGUCUACCCCCAGUUUUAUUGCUGUAAGUAACAUCAUAUGGUAUGGAAUAUCCCUUGGGUCCCUUUGAUCAGCUGGGGUCAGCUGUCCUGCUGUGUCCCCUCCCAGUCUCUUGCCCAACCCCAGCUUACUCGCUGGAGAGGGCACAGAGUGAGAAAAGGAGAAGGCCUUGAUGUUGUUUAGCAAUAGCUAAAACAUCUGUGUGUUAUUAGCACUGUUCUAGUCACUGAUUUAAACCACAGUACCAUAUGGGCUGCUAUAAAAAAUUAAUUCCAUCCCAGCCAGAUCCAGCAGGGUCUCCUACACCAUAAAGUCCCUGGUUUUGCAUUCCUGGUUCUUGGUUUCCUUUUCCUGGAACAAUUUCUUGGUUCCUGUUCCCAUUUUUCUGCUAUAUUUAAAAAAGUAUACUUGAAAUAAAUGUUUCUUCUGUAACAAGUGCUAGAAGCAUCUUGCUGUGCUUGGAACCAGUGCUAAAACCCACAAAAUUACCAGGCACUGAUAAAUUCAUAACAGUUUAUGCAAUAUACUUCCUUAGUCAGGGUAGAUCCAUCUAUUAUUCUUUCUCCACACAAAUACAUGCACCCCUUAUUUCAACAAAUAUACAAAUAAAACUAUUAAUAUUAGUGAACUAUAAUGGAAGGUAGAAAACUAUUCAAUGCUUAUUCUAUUAUAUUAUAUAUACAUUUGUGUAUAUAUGCACACGCAUUUUUAUUGGUACAGCUUUAUUUAUUUAUGCAAUAGCUGUAAGAUUUAUGGAGAGGAUCCUGAGAACAGACAAAGGCCAGAGCUAUCACUGAUAUCAAAAACAGACUUUUGAAAGUCCAUCUAUUCUGACUGGGACUGCAUUAGAGAAAAACUAGAAAUGAAAUCUAAGUUGAUUUGAUUUCUUAAACUAAAAGGUAGAAAAGAUAAUUGCCCCAUCUUCCUUGAAAAAAAAAUAAAAAUGCCGGUGAUUAUAUCAGUUCAGAUCAGAUGUGGUUUACAGAAGCCCAGACACAACCUCAAAAAAAGUGGUCAGCCGCCAGGAAAGAAUAUCUUUCUAACACACCACUUCUUGGCCCAUAUAUACUCUGUCUUCCACUCCAUUCAUGUUCAUCCUGUAUCACUCUGCAACCUUUCACCACUGAGCUGGUCAAUAUUUGAAAUGUCCCAAACCGCACUAUAACCCAUAGCUGGUCUUGGUUCCCUUCACCUAUGCAGGGUCAAAUAGUAUUUUUGCUGCCUGUAAAGGAACCAAUUCAGUGGAAACUGCUGUGUACGCAGCAGAAAAGACUAGAACAGGUGCCUAAGUAAUUUCAAAUUCCCACUAAGAAAAAAAAAAAUCUUACCUUUAUGAGAAGGUGGAUUAGAACUAGAAGAGGGCUAAAUCUAAUUUCUUACCCUCCUCUGCCUUUAAUUGCCUUAAUGCAAAGGCUUUUUUCAGCUGUUCAUCUGAAAAAGCUUAUGGGGAAUUUUUUACUGCAAUACCUUAAUGACAGAUAAGGCAUUCGUGACAGCUGGAAGAAUCUUUUUGGUUGGAGCGUUAAGCUCGGUGCUUAUUUUAAAUAUUGCUGCUCAUAAGACAGUCCCUUGUGUUCUAGUGAUAUGUGUCUGAUGAUUUCAUGUAGCAUGUCAAAUUCUUUCUUCUCGUAGAUACGCAUGACUUGCCAUUGCCCUGAAUAGACUCCAGUCUAAUGGCAGGCAGUAAUUUACAAUGGCAGCAAUUUACAAUGGCAGCUUUUUAUUAUUUUACUCAUUUUAUCUUUCUGUAAGUGAACAAUCCUUUGUCUGAUUGUGUUUCUGAAGCUGUUCUGGUCAGACAGACAGGCUCUUGCAUUGCUCUGAGCUAUAAAAAUCUUAGCAGGCUAAAUAGUUCAGAUGGCAAUUAGUCAAUAGUUGUUUCCCCUGGCUGCCAAAACAACUUAAGCAUGCCCUGAAUAUAGUGAAUAUUUGCUUAAAAAUCAAGCACCCAGGCUGCUCAAAUAAAUUCACAGGACGAUGAAAUGAUUGUGUGUGAAGAGUCUUUAGCUGUGGUUGAGGUGGAGAAGUGAUAACUUCCAUUAGAGCCAAAAUUAAAUGAAAAUAUGUAAAAUUUAGAUUUUGAGGUUAAGUUCUUCCUGAUAUUGGAAAAAUCAGUAUGAAACACACAUUUCAGCAUAGUAUCCCUCUAUUUUACAUUACUUUUUUCCCCAAGUUCUUUUUUGCUUUAUAAAGUAUAGCCCCCAUAUUCUGUGAAAGCUAAACUCUAAAGUAAAAGGAAAAAACAGAUUAUUUUCUAUGUCUCUAAUCCCAUCUCUUCUUUGGUGACCCUGUAGCAUUACUGGAUGCAAAUAUGCAGGGACCAAAAUCUUAGGAUCUGCUUAGAAACUGAUAUAUUUUCCACUAACUCUUGCAUAGUAACAAUCAUCUUUAUCAUGGUAUCAGCAUUUAACAUCCUGUAUAGAGAGGGUAAUCAUGUUUAGUUAGCAACGGCAAUUGUUCAUACUUCUUUGUCUGAAUUGUUUCAAAAUCAAGGCAAACUUUCCUUAGGGCUGGUACAACAUACUUUCACAAUAAAAUUAAGGGAGAAGAGGCAUCUAAAAUUUUCCUAUUCUCUUUGAAUUUGGAAAGCCUCCUCCUGCCAAGGUGAAAUGCUGUAUCAACCCCACGUGGUAUCAAAGUUUUCCCUCUCCUGUGUGCACAUGGUCCGCAGAAUUUUCCUCUGUAUUAUGUAAUGAAACAAGAGGGAUUUCCUCAUCAUUUCAGAAACACAUUUCUAAUGAUCAUGCUCCAUCACUGGCUUGGAUCUCCUUGGGUUAAUUAAAACCAUUUAUAAUUUUCCAAAAACACCACUGUCCUUGCCUACCAAGAUAAAGCAAUACUCUGCAGGUCUGAAAAUAAACUCUGCAUGGGAGAGUCUGUUCAAUAAGCAGCUAGGUAAUAGAUGUACAACUGCUGACUGCCAGGUACGAGCUGGGAGCCAAGAGGGUUAGGGCUCUGCUGGAAAGAAACUACACCUUGGCAGUAAUGAAUUUCAGGAUAUUUUUGACACCAUAAUGCAGCAAGUAAAUGAAGAAUAACAGCACAGGUGAGAACUACUGAAUUUGUAGAUGACAAAGGUAAUCAGUAAUACUAGGGCUACAAUGAUGGAUGAAAUUAUUAAGCUGUUCGUUUCAUUCACAGAUAACCACUGUAUGAAGGAGCAGUGUUCACUUAAUUUACUAGUGUUUCAGGAAUUUAGUUCUUAAUGGAAAUGCCUGGGCAUCUGCAAAGACCCUCAGCACGAACUGGAGUUUGCUAUGAAAGAACCUCACUGUUUAAUCUUGUAAGGUGCUCUUCUUUUUAUUAGCAUAUAAUUACUCUACAGGAGUCAUACAGUUUCUGUUGUUCUGUGAUUAAUUUAAAGUUAACACCUGUUUGAUUUAGCUAGUUUUUGUUUCUUUCUUAUUGGGGUUUAAUGGUAUUGCUUUUCAUGAGGAUGCUGUUCUGCCAGAUUCACUUGUCAGUUUUAACCAGUUUGUGAAAUAAUUGGGUACUGUUAAAGUCUCAAUGAAGAAUCUGGUGCCUUUUUCAUACUUAUUUAACUAGUAUGAAUUUAACUCUGAGUUAGAAAUAACUGAAAAUUAUAGUUAACUGAUGAGUUUUCUUCAACCUCCUCUCAAAUAAUUAUGCCUCCAUGUAAAACAGUAAACAGUUCUCAGUGCACUGAAACGAUCACCACAUUUUAAGUUAACCAGCAUCUUCCAGAGAAACGCCAGGACACUAUGGAACAGUCUCCCGAAGCGUUGGGCACAGGCGGUGAGAUACAGAAAGGCUGGCAUUGGUGCCACUGCCCACAUGACAACCUUUUUGUCGUUGUGUAAGAGGGCUUCAGCACUUAUGGCUGUUGGCUUACCGUAUUUUGUAGAUACUAGAUUCACAGAAUUAAAAAGGAAAUAAAGUUGCGAGUUCCUUGCCUGAAGCUUGUUUACCCAGGGACAGAAGUGAGGCGCCAGGGAACAACCCACCGCCACAGUAAAAAGGGUACUGCACUUGGAGGUAGGGGUAUGACUACCACAUUUGUUAACAUACUUCAUCCUUCUGCAGUUAUUUUCAGCAAAAUGGUGUACACCCACAGCCUGUAUGUGAUCAUAUUUCGUUAGUAAACAGUACAUGAACAGGCUAGUCUGUUUUAAUAAUAGUAAGAAUUGCACAUUAGUAAUUUGUGUACCUCUACACUGAAAAUGUCUGAUUUACAUGCUUUGGUGGUAUUCGUUUACUUGCAGGGAACACCUGGCAUGCUAGGCACAUCAAAAACGAACAACACGCACCCCUCCCGAAAUUAGCUGCAGCUUAACAUCAUCCAUUUAGUCAGCCUGGUAAUUUUUAAAGGAACUCUAGAUGUAGAGUGCUUAAUGUCAUUCUUUCUUCGGGUCUUGCAGCAAAUAUAUAUUCACUUCUGGUGUAUGUGUAAAAGUGCAAAGUGAGUUUUAUAAUACACGUACCUGAUCCUGUUCUUUUAACAAAGCUUGCAAACUUACUGUAGAGAAUCGCCGUGAGGUACGUUGUGCCAGGUGACACAGUUUUCAAGGAAGCCUGUGUGCAGACUGUUUAAGCUAAAAGGAAAAUUGUGACGGAGGAACUGAUUCUACACAUGUCCCUGGAGUCCCAUUAAAAUCAUGUCCUUCUUUUGUGUCCUUGGAACAUUACCUGAUGCUGUCUCCAUCAUCAGAUGGAGUCACUCUCCAUCAUCAGGAUUGCUUGAAUGCUGCAGAAUGAUACUCUCGGAUGUUAAUUUGGAAUGUAAGCAGCUGUUCACUUUGCUGAUGCUGGAUCUAUUUUACUUCACUCUGCCUCAGUAUUUGCAUGAAAAACAACGUCCUGAUGUCUACACAUGUGACUGAUAAAUAGCUGAUAUUCUUAAGUGUCCAGUUCUGGGCCCCUCAGUUCAAGAAGGACAGGGAACUGCUUGAGCAAGUCCAGCGGAGAGCUACCAAGAUGAUCAGGGGACUGGAGCAUCUCCCUUAUAAGGAAAGGCUGAGAGACCUGGGUUUGUUCAACCUGG